rnacentral:rRNA from 1 species
AAUGGGCGCAAGCCUGAUCCAGCCAUGCCGCGUGAGUGAUGAAGGCCCUAGGGUCGUAAAGCUCUUUCGCCAGGGAUGAUAAUGACAGUACCUGUAAAGAAACCCCGGCUAACUCCGUGCCAGCAGCCGCGGUAAUACGGAGGGGGUUAGCGUUGUUCGGAAUUACUGGGCGUAAAGCGCACGUAGGCGGAUCGGAAAGUUGGGGGUGAAAUCCCGGGGCUCAACCCCGGAACUGCCUCCAAAACUAUCGGUCUAGAGUUCGAGAGAGGUGAGUGGAAUUCCGAGUGUAGAGGUGAAAUUCGUAGAUAUUCGGAGGAACACCAGUGGCGAAGGCGGCUCACUGGCUCGAUACUGACGCUGAGGUGCGAAAGUGUGGGGAGCAAACAGGAUU